rnacentral:rRNA from 2 species
CGGCAUGCCUAACACAUGCAAGUUGAACGGCAGCAUAUUUUUCACUUCGGUGAUUAAUGAUGGCGAGUAGCGAACGGGUGAGUAAUGCAGAGGAAUAUGCCCUAAAGACUGGGAUAGCUCGUGGAAACGCGGGGUAAUACCGGAUGAGUUCUACGGAAGAAAGCUGGCUUUUCGGAGCUGGCGCUUUAGGAGUAGCCUCUGUCCAAUUAGUCAGUUGGAGGGGUAAGAGCCCACCAAGGCGAUGAUUGGUAGCGGGUCUGAGAGGAUGAACCGCCACACUGGGACUGAGAUACGGCCCAGACUCCUACGGGAGGCAGCAGUGGGGAAUAUUGGACAAUGGGGGCAACCCUGAUCCAGCAAUGCCGCGUGUGUGAAGAAGGCCUGAGGGUUGUAAAGCACUUUUAUUAGGGAGGAGAGGUUGUUUGUUAAUAGCGAAUGACUGAGACGUUACCUAAAGAAUAAGCACCGGCUAACUCCGUGCCAGCAGCCGCGGUAAUACGGGGGGUGCAAGCGUUAAUCGGAAUUACUGGGCGUAAAGGGUGCGUAGGUGGUUGUGUAAGUUGUAUGCUAAAUACCUGGGCUUAACCUGGGGAUUGCGUAUGAUACUGCAUGACUAGAGUUCAUUAGAGGGUGUGGGAAUUUCCGGUGUAGCGGUGAAAUGCGUAGAUAUCGGAAGGAACACUAGUGGCGAAGGCGCACACCUGGGAUGAUACUGACACUGAGGCACGAAAGCGUGGGUAGCGAACAGGAUUAGAUACCCUGGUAGUCCACGCUGUAAACGAUGUCAACUAGCUGUUUGUUCCGAAUGAGGGAUGAGUAGCGCAGCUAACGCGAUAAGUUGACCGCCUGGGGAGUACGGUCGCAAGAUUAAAACUCAAAGGAAUUGACGGGGGCCCGCACAAGCGGUGGAGCAUGUGGUUUAAUUCGAUGCAACGCGAAGAACCUUACCUACACUUGACGCAUAACUAGAAUGCAGAGAUGUGUUCUUUAUCCGAGAGGAUUGGUUAUGACAGGUGCUGCAUGGCUGUCGUCAGCUCGUGUCGUGAGAUGUUGGGUUAAGUCCCGUAACGAGCGGAACCCUUGUCCUUAGUUGCCAGCAAGUAAAGUUGGGGACUCUAAGGAGACUGCCGGUGCUAAGCCGGAGGAAGGGGGGGAUGACGUCAAGUCAUCAUGGCCUUUAUGUGUAGGGCUACACACGUGCUACAAUGGUUGGUACAGAGGGGGGCAAAGGGGCGACCUGGAGCAAAUCCUAUAAAGCCAAUCGUAGUCCGGAUUGGAGUCUGCAACUCGACUCCAUGAAGUUGGAAUCGCUAGUAAUCGCAAAUCAUCAUGUUGCGGUGAAUACGUUCCCGGGCCUUGUACACACCGCCCGUCACACCAUGGGAGUGGGCUGCACCAGAAGCAGGUUGUCUAACCUUCGGGGGGACGCUUGCCACGGUGUGGUUCAUGACUGGGGUGAAGUCGUAACAAGGUAGCCGUAGGGGAACCUGCGGCUGGAUCACCUCCUU